GGGAGAGCUUGUUCCAGCAGACUGGCCCCAUCCGCUCCACCCGGCUCUGCUGGAGCGAGGGGUGGAAAAGAGGGAUGGAUGCAAAGGGGUAUCUCCCACCCCUCCGGGGCCCCGUGUGCCGCCUGCGUGCUGCUUCCCAGCAAAUACGGCCAGAGGACACACUCCAGCCCAGAGAACAAGGAGCCACACAGAGACCUGUUUCUUAGCAGUGGAGCAAGGUGUGGCUUUAGCAUCAGCAGCACUCUGAAUUCAGGUGCAUACUCCACAUCUUCCUUCACUAAGUCUAAUGAAGACUACACACUCCUAAGAAGGAAGCAGAACCACAACAGCAGAGAGAUGAAAGAGUUCAAGGCUUCCAGCUCCAAACUCCUCAGCCCAGGACCUCCAUCCUGGUUCUUGGUCUCGUGUGAGGAUACUCUUUGCAAUGUCUGAUUCAUCCCUAUGCUGUAUAUCAAAAGAUUUCCACCACUUUCAGCAGACUCAAGAUUAGCUUGAUAGCACACUGCAAGAAAUACCCAGGAGACAUGUGCUGCAGCUGGCACUGAAACCCUGCCAGGAGCAGCCGGAUGAUUAUGGACUUUGCUUGAGGGGCAUGAAGUUCACAAUGGCUCCAGCUUUUGAAAUCCUAACUGUGCUCUUGCUGGGAGGUUACUUAGGCUGUGGUUUCACAGGAAUAUCAUGAAUCACAGCAAAAAGGGUGCCUAAAGUGAUACCAGAUGUCUAUGGAAAGCAGCUGAACCUCUCUUCUAGCUGAGGGUGGAGAAGCACUGGAUUCACCAUGGGGAAGAUCAUGGAUCUCCAUCACCAGAGGUUUCUAAGGAUAAGGAAAAGAAAUUUCUAUCAUCAGGAAUGACACAGGCUAAGUCAGUACUGCACAAGAACAGAAACUGAGUCCUGCCCAGUCCUGCCCCAGCAGUCCAAAGGAUACUCAGGGUCUGCCUUGCUCUGGUGGCCAUUUGGGACCUUGGCAGGAUUCAACGGCCCAUGCAUAGGUAGUAAGUUCUGCUGGAAGUGGCACCAGAGAUCCUGAGAUUACUCUAAACUGGUCCCUUUGGCCUCAGGGGGCAUUGACCUCAGCCAGACAGGGUGGCUGUGCUGGUCAGCAUUUGUCUGUCAGAAGCUGUGGAGCCAGACCCGUGUCUUUUAGAGAGGUAAUCUGGACAAGAGAACGCACACCAACAGCAACCUCAGCUGAUCCUGUCCAGUGAGACAUGGGAAACAGGAGGUAGCACAGGAGAAGCCCAGGAACCACAGUUGAGGGCACCCUUAAUAAACAGGGGUUAGCUGGAGAAGCA
rnacentral:lncRNA from 14 species